GUUUAUUUCAACAUUUGACGCAUUACAAGAAAUGCAUUAACGUUAAAAUAGCAGCAUGUUGGGGUGCUUUACACAUAAGUAAGCAGCACUCUCCUUAUUAUGUGUUACCAGUGGUGGAAAGUACAUUGAGAAACUACUCUGACCUAUCCAUCAAAAGGCGUGUGUCUAGUCCAGUACCCUGUGACCUAAACUUCACUUUAGACAGUGGAUGGAGAGGAACAUGGCUGAGAGAUAAGGGACUUAAAGAGGAGGAGGAGCACCUAAGAAGAGGCGGGGAGUCAGAUGAAGAGGCCGUCCUUUGAGAAAGGAGGGGUGUCCUCAAAAAGAGGGAGGUGCUUUCAUGACGGGUGUCCCUUGUCCUCCUGUUCUUUAAUCAGAGCUGGGGCCCCCAGCUGUAGCCGGAAGGAAACCUCAUUCCAGGAAGUGCCUGCCUGAUACUGCACGACUGGCCUCGUUGUGGCCUCAGUGCCAAUCGGACAUCUAUUCAUCUGAGGAAAGGGAAGCGUGCCAUUGCAAUCGUCAGUCAUUCCCGAAUCCAGUUACUGUAGAAUCCUGUCCUAAAUAGGAGGUGUGGUCUUAUGUGUGUUUGUUUUCAAUGAUUGACAUCUUGUUGAUGGGUGUGAUAGAAAUACACACCGGUUACAGUCCAUGACUCAACACCUCUGCAUAAAAUUUUCUAAAGAAUGUUCUUUCUUUUUAAACAAGUCAAACUAGAGUUGCAUCUGAAGUGCACCAUGGGUCAUCGAGCCCUCACUCAGGCGCUGAGUGAUGAUGUCAUACUUAGGAAACCACCACUGGGACAGCAGGAAGGAAAAUAAAAGCUGUGGCAUGAAAAGAGGGAAAAAGACAGAGAUUGGAGGCGACGGUUGUGAUGUGAAGAAAGUGUUUCUGGUCGCUCUGGCUGAGAGUGUGCAGUGCGGUUGCUGGCUGACUGAGGGUUUUUAAUAAACAGCCUGUUGAAACAUGACAGGA